GACGAACGCUGGCGGCGUGCUUAACACGUGCAAGUCGAACGGAAAGGCCCUGCUUUUGUGGGGUGCUCGAGUGGCGAACGGGUGAGUAACACGUGAGUAACCUGCCCUUGACUUUGGGAUAACUUCAGGAAACUGGGGCUAAUACCGGAUAGGAGCUCCUGCUGCAUGGUGGGGGUUGGAAAGUUUCGGCGGUUGGGGAUGGACUCGCGGCUUAUCAGCUUGUUGGUGGGGUAGUGGCUUACCAAGGCUUUGACGGGUAGCCGGCCUGAGAGGGUGACCGGCCACAUUGGGACUGAGAUACGGCCCAGACUCCUACGGGAGGCAGCAGUGGGGAAUAUUGCACAAUGGGCGGAAGCCUGAUGCAGCAACGCCGCGUGCGGGAUGACGGCCUUCGGGUGGUAAACCGCUUUCGCCUGUGACGAAGCGUGAGUGACGGUAAUGGGUAAAGAAGCACCGGCCAACUACGUG
rnacentral:rRNA from 1 species